GGGGCGAUAGCUCAGCUGGUUAGAGCAGUGGACUCAUAAUCCAUCGGUCACGGGUUCAAGUCCCGUUCGCCCCACCA
rnacentral:tRNA from 1 species